GACGAACGCUGGCGGCGUGCUUAACACAUGCAAGUCGAACGGAAAGGCCCUGCUCUUGUGGGGUGCUCGAGUGGCGAACAGGUGUGUAUCACGUGAGUAACCUGCCCUUUACUUUGGGAUAACUUCAGGAAACUGGGGCUAAUACCGGAUAUGAGCUCCUGCUGCAUGGUGGGUGUUGGAAAGUUGCGGCGGUUGGGGAUGGACUCGCGGCUUAUCAGCUUGUUGGUGGGGUAGUGGCUUACCAAGGCGUUGACGGGUAGCCGGCCUGAGAGGGUGACCGGCCACAUUGGGACUGAGAUACGGCCCAGACUGCUACGGGAGGCAGGAGUGGGGAAUAGUGCACAAUGGGCGGAAGCCGGAUGGAGCAACGCCGCGUGCGGGAUGACGGCCUUUGGGUUGGAAACCGCUUUCGCCUGGGACGAAGCGUGAGUGACGGUAAUGGGUAAAGAAGCACCGGCUAACUACGUG
rnacentral:rRNA from 1 species